UAUCCUGUUAAGUCAGGCAACGAACGAGACCCACACACUUAGUUGCCAUCAACAGCCUUAGGGUUGGUUGGGAACGCUAAGUGGACCGCCAUCGUACAGAUGGAGGAAGGAGUGGGCCACGGCAGGUCAGUAUGCCCCUAAUCCCCCGGGCCACACGCGGGCUGCAAUGGUAUGGACAAUGGGUUGCAACUCUGAAAAGAGGAGCCAAUCUCGAAACCAUAUCUCAGUUGGGAUUGUCGGCUGUAACCCGCCGACAUGAACGUGGAAUCCCUAGUAAUCGUGUGUCAUCAUCGCACGGUGAAUACGUCUCUGCUCCUUGCACACACCGCCCGUCGCUCCAUCCGAGUGUAGUAUCAUUGAAAAUUAGUCCUCAGGGUUAAUUUAAAAUGGUAUUACGCGAGGAGGGAGAAGUCGUAACAAGGUAACCUCAGUCAGUCAA
rnacentral:rRNA from 1 species